UACGAGGGGUGCAAGCGUUGUUCGGAAUUAUUGGGCGUAAAGGGCAAGUAGGCGGUUCGGCAAGUCAGCUGUGAAAUCUCCACGCUCAACGUGGAGGGGUCAGCUGAUACUGCUGUGACUUGAGUCCGGUAGGGGAGUGUGGAAUUCCCGGUGUAGCGGUGAAAUGCGCAGAUAUCGGGAGGAACACCAAGGCGAGGAGCGAGCACUCUGGGGCCGGUAGUAGUGACGCUGAGACGCGAAAAGCGU
rnacentral:rRNA from 1 species